CAUCUUCCAGUACAGUGUUGGAUGGUCUAAUUGUGAAGCUCCUAACACUGUCUGGUAAAGAUGGC
rnacentral:pre_miRNA from 2 species